rnacentral:pre_miRNA from 1 species
AAUAUACUCCCUCCGUCCGAAAAUACUUGUCAUCAAAAUGAAUAAAAAGGGAUGUAUCUAGAUGUAUUUUAGUUCUAAAUACAUCUCUUUUUAUCCAUUUUGAUGACAAGUAUUUUUGGACGGAGGGAGUAAUAG